rnacentral:lncRNA from 1 species
GAUCUCUAAAGGCCAGGGGAGAGCUAGAGAGACGACUCUGAGGCUAAGGGGGGAGAAUUCUGUUCUUGCAGAAAACCCAUUCCCAGCACCCACAGUCAGCAGGUUCAUAAGCACCUGCAACUCCACAAAAGGGGAUCAGACACCCUUCCACGAGCACUUACACAACAUGUCACCUAGUGAUGGGCCCUAAAACUAGGAGGUGACAUCACCAGUCCAGCCCAGCAGUUUCCCACAGAACACAGCAAUGAGUAAUCAGACUACAGCCGCCUUUGUGGGAAGCAGAAAAACCAUGCAAACAGACAGACAUGAGGACAGAAAAACACCCUGAAACUGGGUUUCUUCCAGAUUCUCCUGAGGCCCAGCUGCUCUGGCUCCAUGUGACAACCUUGAACCGCUUCAGUCAACACCUUUCAAGUGUCUGUCUGAUUCUUUCAGCUAACAGACCUCAGCCAACAAAGUCUCCCAUAAAAGUUGUGCAAACAAAGGCUAGAAUAGCGCUGACUCACUUUAGCUCAACAGAAGACCUGCCUUUCUCAUAAAACCCUCCUCAUGUCCAUCAGCCCCUAAAGACUCCAAGGAGUUCCGGAGCCAUCCUGACUGGUGCAGGAGUGAGAGGGAGCCGGCCAGUUACGUGGAGCUCUCACCCCCAUUAAAGAGACUUCUCGUGCAGGAGAUGGGGGCUACAACAGACAUCCAAGACUGGUCAAAACAGCCCCAGGUUACCCGUCAUUGUCAUCAACGACACACCCACCGCAAAGCCUGCGUCUCAGGCUCAGGCAGCACUGUGGAGGAGGGGGCGGAUGUCGGCUGCGGAGGAGGCUGUCUUCUCUGAGUGGUCAGAAAGCUCAACAGUGUGGUCACACAAAUAACACCUGCACGGUGAUCACGGCUGCGGGAAAUCUCACAGAGCUUUCCCCCGAUGAAGAGCUACAGGCCGUUGACGGCUGCUGAGAGAGGGAAAUCCGUCUUCUACAGGAGCGGGUCCUCUGAGAGGGGAUCAACAACAACCCUGAAUGAACUCAGUAACACUUGUGGAAAACACUCUAAGCAGCAGGACUGGAGGUUUCUGGAGCUGGAAGAGGCAGCACCAUCAUUCACAGCCGUCCCUCCCCUGAGGUCAGGUGCUAAGCAAUCUGCUCUGCAUGCCUCCACAGUGACACAGGGUGGAGAACGGGGAGGCACAGGAGAUGCUGUGACUGCACAAACUAACUAAGAGGUUCUAGGAGAAGGGGCAUUAAGCCCCCGGGACACCCUGCACCCAGGCACAGACAAGCCUUUGUUUAACAUAAGUACACUCCAAGUAAUUUCCUCCUCCCCAGUGUCUAACACAACCAUGUGCCAGACAGGGACUCCUUAGUUACAGUAAAUAAACACAGUGUUUGUAGAGCACGUGACUGUCAAUCGUUGUACCUAAGAUGGACAAUGUAUCCCGGAGGAGUCCUGUCAAUCAGAAC